UACGUAGGAUGCAAGCGUUGUCCGGAAUUAUUGGGCGUAAAGAGCGCGCAGGCGGUCUGCCAAGUCAGAUGUGAAAGAGGCCGGCUUAACCGGCAAGGGUCAUUUGAAACUGACAGACUAGAGUGCAGCAGAGGAUAGCGGAAUUCCCGGUGUAGUGGUGAAAUGCGUAGAUAUCAGGAGGAACACCUGUGGCGAAAGCGGCUCACUGGACCAUAACUGACGCUGAUGCACGAAAGCUAGGGGAGCAAACAGG
rnacentral:rRNA from 1 species